rfam:Schistocephalus solidus strain NST_G2 genome assembly, scaffold: SSLN_scaffold0015899
GAGCCCGUGGCUCAAUGGUAGAGCGUUCGACUCAAAUACCAAAGGUCGCGGGUUC